UGGGGAAUAUUGCGCAAUGGGCGGAAGCCUGACGCAGCGACGCCGCGUGGGGGAUGACGGCCUUCGGGUUGUAAACCUCUUUCGCCAGGGACGAAGCGUGAGUGACGGUACCUGGAUAAGAAGCACCGGCCAACUACGUGCCAGCAGCCGCGGUAACACGUAGGGUGCGAGCGUUGUCCGGAAUUAUUGGGCGUAAAGAGCUCGUAGGCGGUCUGUCGCGUCGGUCGUGAAAACUUGGGGCUUAACCCUGAGCUUGCGGUCGAUACGGGCAUGACUGGAGUUCGGCAGGGGAGACUGGAAUUCCUGGUGUAGCGGUGAAAUGCGCAGAUAUCAGGAGGAACACCGGUGGCGAAGGCGGGUCUCUGGGCCGAAACUGACGCUGAGGAGCGAAAGCGUGGGGAGCGAACA
rnacentral:rRNA from 1 species